CGUGCACCGGUGGGGUCCCUUGGCCUGGCCUGUGCCCUCUCACAAUCCAGGAGGACUCCUUGGGGGAUGUCAGAGAGCUGGUUUCAGCCCAAUCCCUGCAGGCCAGGCCAAGGGACCCCACCAGUGCACG
rnacentral:pre_miRNA from 1 species